rnacentral:rRNA from 1 species
GGGGUUCUGAGAGGAAGGUCCCCCACAUUGGAACUGAGACACGGUCCAAACUCCUACGGGAGGCAGCAGUGAGGAAUAUUGGUCCAUGGGCGAGAGCCUGAACCAGCCAAGUAGCGUGAAGGAUGACUGCCCUAUGGGUUGUAAACUUCUUUUAUAAAGGAAUAAAGUCGGGUAUGCAUACCCGUUUGCAUGUACUUUAUGAAUAAGGAUCGGCUAACUCCGUGCCAGCAGCCGCGGUAAUACGGAGGAUCCGAGCGUUAUCCGGAUUUAUUGGGUUUAAAGGGAGCGUAGAUGGAUGUUUAAGUCAGUUGUGAAAGUUUGCGGCUCAACCGUAAAAUUGCAGUUGAUACUGGAUAUCUUGAGUGCAGUUGAGGCAGGCGGAAUUCGUGGUGUAGCGGUGAAAUGCUUAGAUAUCACGAAGAACUCCGAUUGCGAAGGCAGCCUGCUAAGCUGCAACUGACAUUGAGGCUCGAAAGUGUGGGUAUCAAACAGGAUUAGAUACCCUGGUAGUCCACACGGUAAACGAUGAAUACUCGCUGUUUGCGAUAUACAGCAAGCGGCCAAGCGAAAGCGUUAAGUAUUCCACCUGGGGAGUAC